UUGUGCUCGGCGAGGAGGAGUCUACCGCUCGCCUCCAGUGGCUGCCUGGCCACCGCCUUCUUUCCGCUCCCUCCUCUUCCCCUUCCUCCUCCUUAUCCUCCGCCGCGACUGCUGCAGCAUCCCCGGUGCCUCCCGGAUCCAUGAAGAAAGCCCCCCGCACGGCGCCUCCCCCCGCAACGAUGGGCUGCGAGCGAUUCACUGCGUUGAUGUGUUGAUAUUGAGAUUUUUCUUUUCCCAGUGAUCAAAUAUGAAUCAUGCAUUUGAUAUUUCUGGCCACUUUGCUCGUCAGCGUCCUCUCGCCCUGGCUUCAUCCAUCACUAGCGUCAUUCGCUUCUGGGGGAGCGGAGGACAAGGUUGAGGGGGACGCAGCGGCAGCUCUGCGGGAGCAACAGGCGACUGCAGCACCCGCCACGGACAACACAACACGCCAUGCAGUGCAGCACGUGAUCACCUACCCCUCCAGGCUCAUCUACUACCUGAACGAGGACUCCGAGAGCACCUACCAUGACCUGGACACCCGGGUCCGGGGCCAGGCCUCAGAGGGUCAGGCGGUCCACCUCGCCCAGGCCAGUUUCCAGUUCGAGGCGUUCGGCUACAGAUACGUUCUGGACGUAAUGCUGAACAAUGACCUGCUGUCCUCAGAUUAUGUUGAGAUCCACUACGAAGGGGGAAAACCAGUUCUAUCCAAGGGUGGUGAGCACUGUUACUACCAUGGUGAGGUGAGGGGUAACAAUAACUCCCACGUGGCCUUAUCUACCUGCAACGGGCUGCACGGGAUGUUUGACGAUGGCAUCUACAUGUAUCUAAUCGAGCCCUUGCAACAGAUCCAUUCAAUUGACACAGCCGCCCGGCCUCACAAACUCAGAAGAACAGCUUCUCCUCACUGGCACAGUGACUCAGGGGAAGAGGCGGAGGAGGAGCCGCUCGUCUCCGAGCCGGACGACACGUCCUGGCUGAAGCGCCGGAAAAAACGGGCUAUGCCUCGAAAUACAUUUGAGGAGAUGAAAUACAUUGAACUCAUGAUUGUCAAUGACCACAGUAUGUAUAAACGACACAGGACCAAGCAGCGCACGAGGUAUUUUGCCAAGUCGGUGGUGAAUCUGGUGGAUGCUCUCUUCAAAGAGCAGCUGCACACGCGCGUGGUCCUCGUGGCCAUUGAGACGUGGACGGACAAGGAUCAGAUCCCCAUCAGCGUGAAGCCGCUGGAGAUGCUGCGCGACUUCUCCAAGUACAGGCAGCAGAGCAUCAAGCACCACGCCGACGCCGUGCACCUCAUCUCGAACGUGACCUUCCACCAUCGCACCAGCAGCGCCGCGUACAUCGGAGGCAUGUGCUCCACGAGCCGCGGAGUCGGGGUCAACGAGUACGGCACCACCUGGUCCAUGGUCGCGACCCUGUCCCAGAGCCUGGCUCAGAACCUGGGCAUCCAGUGGGACCCGGUCACCAAGAGAAAGGAAUGCGGUUGUACUGAAUCGUGGACUGGCUGCGUAAUGGAAGACUCCGGGGUCCAACACGCGCGCCGCUUCUCCAAAUGCAGCAUCUCCGACUACAAGGAGUUCCUGCUGAAAGGCGGCGGCUCCUGCCUGUUUAACAGGCCGACCAAGCUGUUCGAGCCGACCGAUUGUGGGAACGGAUUCGUGGAGGUGGGAGAGGAGUGCGACUGCGGAGGGAGAGCCGAUUGCUACAAGGAUUGCUGCAAGAAGUGCUCGCUCGCCAACGGGGCCCACUGCAGCGACGGCCCGUGCUGCAAUAGCACGUCAUGUCUGUUAUACCCGCGAGGCUACAGCUGCCGCUACGCUGUGAACGACUGCGACAUCUCGGAGACCUGCUCCGGAGACUCUGGACAGUGCCCCCCCAACCUCCACAAGCAAGACGGCUACUUCUGCCAGGUCAACCAGGGCCGCUGCUACAGUGGAGAGUGCAAAACCAGGGAGAACCAGUGCAAAUACAUCUGGGGCUCAAAGGCCGGAGGCUCCGAGAGGUUCUGCUAUGAGAAGCUGAACACUGAAGGCACGGAGAAGGGCAACUGUGGGAAGGACGGAGACAAAUGGGUCCAGUGUAGCAAACAUGACGUGUUCUGUGGCUACCUUUUGUGUACCAACAUUGGUCGCACCCCACGCAUCGGAUUAAUGAAAGGAGAUAUAACCCCCACCUCCUUCAACCAUCAAGGCAGGGUGGUAGAAUGCAGCGGCGGUCACGUCCUGUUGGACGAUGAUACUGAUCUAGGCUACGUGGAGGAUGGGUCUCCCUGUGGGCCGUCGAUGAUGUGCCUUAACCACAAGUGUCUGCCCAUCCAGUCACUGAACAUGAGUACCUGCCCCGUUGGACCUAAUGGACAGGUCUGCUCCGGCAACGGGGUGUGUAACAAUGAAGCCUCGUGCACCUGUGACACCACGUGGGCGGGGACAGACUGUAGCAUGCCUGACCCACCUAAGGAGCCUGAGACCACUCAGGAUGAAGGACCCAAGGUGAGCGUGGCCACUAACAGGCUGAUAGGGGCAGUAGCAGGGACCAUUCUGGCCCUGGGGGUGAUUUUUGGAGGCACAGGGUGGGGAAUAGAGUCCUAGUGCCACCAAUCUUAUAAUAGGCUCCAUCGCCGGAGCCAUCCUUGUGGCUGCCAUAGUGCUGGGGGGGACUGGAUGGGGCUUUAACUGUUGGAGGGUGACACUUUAAACACAGAGAGAGAGAGAGAGGCCGCAGAGGCCGCAGCCUUUGUGCCAUGGCUGGCCGCAGCCGCCGCGAUGGCCGGCCUCCGCCGUAGAGCAGAGCGGGACUGGAGCCCCCCACGCCGGCCGCCACUGCUGCCCGCUUCACAGCACAGACCCGAAAUGUGAAGAAGCGGCGGUACGACCCCAACGCCACCGCCAUUUAACCCGAGGAGGGAUGGCAAUCACAGACGGACUCCCGAGGCUUCCUUAGGUGGCUGCCUGACAGCUGGACUGCACUUACUGCUGCUGACCUUUGGCAUUAGAUUUACUUGAAAAAGAAAUAGUGGACAUUUUAACAAAUUCCAUCGUAGUGACGUUAGAAACGCAGCCUUUUUCACUCCACCCUCACCCAUGUAACAGCUCCCCCUCCUCCCCUUUGACCCCCGCCCACCCUGACCUCUAGAUUGACAGAGCUCCUCCUCCAUCCUUCUAGUGCCAGUGCACAGGCGUUCAGGCGGAAUCCACACCACUCUCUCACCUGGCAUGAUAAUCCGCACAAAGCGUGCUGCUUGCUGGCCCCCCCGGCAUGAAGAGCCUUCCCUACAGGGCUCUGCAUGGCUACGAAAGCUACGAAUAUACCGCAAAAGCAUACGACGAGGAUGAAGAGGAGCUAUCCGACAGGAGGGAGGGGGGGUGAAAGACCAACCCAGUGGUGACGGUUCACGUUUCAGUGCUGUAGGUGAUUCAGGAGGCUGCAUGCGAGGAUCCAUGGGUCGCUGCAGAAAACACAGUGAACGCACACACACGGAACUGUACAUAAACGAGGAGUUCAGGUCUGGAAUCAACUUAUUUUACAAGGACAUCCGCUGCUUUCCUUUUUUUAUCUUAGCAUGUCUUAUAACGGGUGUUUUCCAGAAAAUCAAUAACUGCAAUCCCGACUGUAGCCGCAAGCGGCUGCGAUUGCCCAGGCGGAGGUCAGAGGGUCGAUACGCCUCAGAUUAACGCCCCCUCCCCCCUCCCCGAAGAUCCUUUGACAGUGACUCAAAAGCCAAAGAAGCAAUCACCUGAACCAAUGGAUGUUGUUGAACACAGAGCACUUUUCCCCCCUCGCUGUCUGCAGCCAGUGGUGCCUCUCCCUCUGCUGGGGGCAGCAGGUGGUGCCCACGCAGGCGCUCACCUGUGCAGCCGGGCCUCACGUCACCGUCCUCAUCCACACCCGCCAUGCUGGCUUCGCCCUUCGCCCCCCACCCCCCAUAGACUCUUGGUGGGAAUCCAGUUCAGCUCCGCUGGCAACGCUGCAUGUAAUCACUAUAGCGGGCUCACAGUUCUAUACGGGAGCCCCCCGAGAUCCGCAAGAAAAAUAUGCUACAAAAGAUAGGUGCAUGUCAACAACGAGAACAUUUAACUUUUAUUUACUAUGCAAGGAGAGAUAAUGCACAAAAUUAUGGGUAAUGCCAAUAUCAAUGUAGUGACAUGAAAUUUCGAAAAAAAGAAAAAAACUCUGCAAAUCAGCUGAUCUUCUGCAUCCGGCCACUCCCACGUCUCCUUUCAUUUUGCUACUACGUCCUGAACUACUGGACACGUGCGAUUCAACAUUUCCAAUGAAACGCGAGGGGGCACUUUUACAUUCGUGGACACGACGUGCCAUUUUCGUGUGUUUGUCAGCCGAUCUGAUACUUCAAACCUCACCCCCACGACACACUGUACGGUGCCUGUACAUACUGAGGCUUGAACAGUUUUCCUUGUGCAGGGCUAAUAUUUCCAGUCCAGCUGACAGUUGGUGUGUUCCAGGUGCUGCCGUAGCACUGGCAUUGUUGUAGUCCUCCAUGUUACUCAUCGUCUGGUGUCCCUCUCUCACUGCAUCAUGUACAGUUGAAUCAAUUAAUAAACUACUGACAAAUUUUA